rnacentral:misc_RNA from 1 species
GUGAGUCAUCGAAUCUUUGAACGCACAUUGCGCCCGCCAGUAUUCUGGCGGGCAUGCCUGUUCGAGCGUCAUUUCAACCCUCAAGCCCAGCUUGGUGUUGGGAGCUGUCGUCAAGACACUCCCCAAAUUGAUUGGCGGUCACGUCGAGCUUCCAUAGCGUAGUAAUUUACACAUCGUUACUGGUAAUCGUCGCGGCCACGCCGUUAAACCCCAACUUCUGAAUGUUGACCUCGGAUCAGGUAGGAAUACCCGCUGAACUUAAGCAUAUCAAUAAGCGGAGGA